rnacentral:rRNA from 1 species
AGUGAACGCUGGCGGUAGGCCUAACACAUGCAAGUCGAACGGCAGCACAGUAAGAGCUUGCUCUUACGGGUGGCGAGUGGCGGACGGGUGAGGAAUACAUCGGAAUCUACUUUUUCGUGGGGGAUAACGUAGGGAAACUUACGCUAAUACCGCAUACGACCUACGGGUGAAAGCAGGGGAUCUUCGGACCUUGCGCGAUUGAAUGAGCCGAUGUCGGAUUAGCUAGUUGGCGGGGUAAGGGCCCACCAAGGCGACGAUCCGUAGCUGGUCUGAGAGGAUGAUCAGCCACACUGGAACUGAGACACGGUCCAGACUCCUACGGGAGGCAGCAGUGGGGAAUAUUGGACAAUGGGCGCAAGCCUGAUCCAGCCAUACCGCGUGGGUGAAGAAGGCCUUCGGGUUGUAAAGCCCUUCUGUUGGGAAAGAAAAGCAGCAGGUUAAUACCCCGCUGUUCUGACGGUACCCAAAGAAUAAGCACCGGCUAACUUCGUG